GAUGAACGCUGGCGGCGUGCCUAAUACAUGCAAGUCGAGCGAACAGACGAGGAGCUUGCUCCUCUGACGUUAGCGGCGGACGGGUGAGUAACACGUGGAUAACCUACCUAUAAGACUGGGAUAACUUCGGGAAACCGGAGCUAAUACCGGAUAAUAUAUUGAACCGCAUGGUUCAAUAGUGAAAGACGGUUUUGCUGUCACUUAUAGAUGGAUCCGCGCCGCAUUAGCUAGUUGGUAAGGUAACGGCUUACCAAGGCAACGAUGCGUAGCCGACCUGAGAGAGUGAUCGGCCACACUGGAACUGAGACACGGUCCAGACUCCUACGGGAGGCAGCAGUAGGGAAUCUUCCGCAAUGGGCGAAAGCCUGACGGAGCAACGCCGCGUGAGUGAUGAAGGUCUUCGGAUCGUAAAACUCUGUUAUUAGGGAAGAACAAAUGUGUAAGUAACUAUGCACGUCUUGACGGUACCUAACCAGAAAGCCACGGCUAACUACGUG
rnacentral:rRNA from 1 species